CCAGAUCCAUUUGUGCGUUCACAUCAUCUCCCUCUUCUCCUUGGCAACUGCUUCCGUCAUCUCCACCAUCGUCCCCACGUUCUCCUCCCUCCGCCUCUCGCUCUGCGCACAUCCCAUGCCCACGCCGAGCGCUUGCGCCUCACCACCCCCGUCGCAGCCGCGGCCGUGGCGGCGUCGACGACCUCCCCCGACUUUCUCGCCGUGGGCGCCGUCUUGGGGAAGCCCACAAUGCUCGUGGGUAGUGGCCGAGAAGAUCUUCCCUCGCCGUCCCGUUCUCUCGCCUCCCCACCAUCGGCGUCGAGGUCUACUACUUUCUCGUUGGCUAGGGCGAGCAGUGCUCCAGCACCUGUCACCAUCACCGACAUCAGCCUCGCCGCAGACGACAAGACCGACGAGCUGUUCGCCAAAAUCUCCCUCAGGCUAGGCCCCCCAUAAUGCCUUCUUCAGUUUCCUUCACUCUUGGUGUCCACCAUACUGCCUUCUUCAGUUUCCUUCACUCUUGGUGUCUCAGACUCUGGGCUCGGUGGAACGCAUUGCGACCGACCCGAUCCAUCCUCUUCGGCAGCCAUCCACUCUCUCCACGGCUCCAUCGCUAGACUAGAGAGAGAAACCCUAGUACCCGUGUUCCUUUUCAUCCCCCAUUUCUCCGAGUUUUCGGGCCCAUCUCCGAGCAUCGAGUCCAAGGAAGCGGAGCCGGCGGAGAAGGGGAGAUUUGACUUUCCCGUUGGGUGCCUAGGGAGCAGGAGGGAUGCAGCAGCGAGGGGGGCACACGUGGGCAGGGAUGGGGAAGACGGCCCAGGCGGCCGCGGCGCACGCCGCGCUCUUCUGCUUCAUUCUCCUCCUCGCGCUCAGGGUCGACGGACGCACCGCAUACUCCUGGUGGGUGCAAUUGUAGAUUGAGGAUGAUGUCAGAACUCAGAAGCUUCAGCUUACAUGCUUAUUGCUAUUGGAAACUUGUCAAUGUAAAUUUCAGUGUAACUGGGCAGAUGGGUAAAUUUCAGUGUAAUACCAUGAGACUAUAGAUUACUACCAGACUCAAAGCAACUUAGGUCGGGAAUCAUGGCUCUCAAGCUUGCUGAACACGAAGGGCGAGGAGGGGUGUGCACCUUUUCACUCUCCGACAACUCUCUCUCUAAUCAUUGACAUCCUGCUAGAGCGAGGUAUGACAAUUGCAGUUCCUAAUGCUUUUAUUAAGUUUCGACAUGCCAUUGCAUUUAGACAAACAAUUAUGCAUUAAUUAGAGCUCCUUGAAAUUUAAAAUUUUGUCAAGUCAUUUCUAUUUGUUAAUGGUCAAUUUCAGAAUUUAUCCAAGCUUUUACCACUGUUCUUAACUGUAAGUUGAUUUGGCUUGUUCAGGGAUAUAGCUUUUGCUAUGCAUCUAUAUUACACUAUAUCUAGAUACAUAGUAAACCUACAUUCAGUGCUUUAAUUUAGUUUUCAAAUUUCGUUUGCACCUUCAAUUCAUAGUGAGACAUCGAGUUAUAGUUCUAGCAAACUCUCUGUAUGACUGCACCUAAACAUUUUUAUUUGAAGGUUAUUUGAUAUUCAUUUUCAGCUCGCAGUUUAUAAAUGGUCUUUGGAUUCCCUGGUAGCCAAGGUUACUGAAGGGUAAUAGAACAUCUUGACCAACAGAUUUGUAAUAUUUACUCUGUUUGGUUAUCAAUGUUUACUUGCUAUUUAAGUUUUGUUUGAUCGUCAACUUUUUCUCAAUGUUUGAUUGUCAACUUUUUCUAUACCAGAAUCGAUGUACAAUCGUGUGAAAUUGUAUUAAAGGAGUGCACAUGUAUCUGCUGAAGUUUUUAGAAGUUGAUAGUUUUAUAUACUUUAUUGUUAUGACAAAAUUGUUUUAUUCUUAAAGAAAUCUGUCGGUGUAUUGCUACCAAAAUCCGCUAUUAAGUUUGAGAGGUAUCUGAUGGAUGAGGUGAGAUCUUAAAGGCACUACUAUAUGUUUCUGUAAUUGUUAAUUUUAGUAGGAUAUAGUCUCACCACAUUGUUAUUGUCCAUGUUAGAUUCUAUCGAUCGAUGCUGAUGUUAGUGAAGUUGAGUUUGGGAAGAAGGUAAGUGUUGGCACCGAUCCAGGCGCCAAUGAGAAGGGCAAGUCGUUGUGCCUAGCAGACGCCCUCCGCGCGCACCGCGGCUGUGAUAGACACUGGAUCCAGGCAUGCCAUGUUCGUCCACCUGCACGGAGAAUCUGCUAAUGACAGAGGCAAGUCCUCCACCUAGAUCUAUUAUCGAGGAAGGACAUAGAGAUCUGACGAUGUGUUCGUUUUAAUGGCAGGACGGCAUGACAGGCGACGAAAUCCAGUCAUCUCCUAAGGGAGCGACAUUGUAUGAUGGCCACUACGGGUGGUGGAGCUGGGCGUCGUUCUCGCCGCGGCGCACGUGAUCCAGGACCGCCAUGUCGCGACGCACGAGACCUGCUUUGUGCCAAGACAAAGGUUGCCAAAGUUUGACUUGCAUCUCCAGGUCGCAGCGACAAAGAAAGGUGGGCGAUGCGGUGGCGACGCGGGAGCACAACCACCAGGUGCAGUUGUUCCACCUACUACUCUCCAUUCCUGCAGAGCACAACCUUUAGGUGUAGCGGUCCAGACUACUACUAAAUAGUAAUACAUUUUACCAAUCGUUUACAAUUUUGAAUGAUGAGCUCCCUAAUUUUCUAAAUGUUGACUAAUAAAUAGUAAUAUACUAGGUAUGUAUGGUAUUGAUUUGGGGACAAUAGUGGGACUGGAGCUUGACGUCGACAUCGUGGUGGCGAACGCAACGACAAAGAAGGAAGACAGUCCUGACUUAUUUACUAAUGAAGAAAAAAAUCGAUGAAGUAGAAUCAAUGGACAUAGGAUUGCUGCUGACUCGUCUUCUAAGCAUGCUGCAGACCCCAAAGCAGAACCUGUAGUUCUAGCAAAUAAGUCUAAAUGGUCACCAGAGCAGGGGCAACACAGGAUCUAACGCCCAUUCUAUGUUGCUGAAGUUGAAGCACAUGUGCUCACAAUCGAAAAGCAUGGAACAAGAAGCAAUGUAGGCUACUGGCAGUUUUGGUGACUGCAACAGCCAGCAAUGGUCUAAUGCCAUCAAGGGGGUGUCAAGCAAGGCGUUCAUGGUAUUUAGUCCUUAUUGUUUAUGUGGUCGUAGAUUGUUGUGCGUAAUAAUGGUCGCUUCUAUGCCGCUGCAAGCAAACAUCAACGGUGUGUGAGGAGGUUCUAUCAUGCCUACCAAAUUUGUAAGAAGGCUCUUCUGAUAUUCCUAGAUCCCUGGCCCACUAUUGUUUAUUUUAAAAAAUUUAUUGGCACACUAAGGUCUAACACAACAACACCCUCUGUAAACUAUUAACAAAUUCAUGGUGGGAUGACGAUGGUGUGAACUGCAAAGAAGCAUGUGGCCCAACUUCUAGAUCCAGUGGUGCCAAACCUCAAUCAACAUUGUUCAGGAUGUUGUCAGCCAUAUUCAGCAAUAGUAGUAACCCACGACUAAUUUGGCUGCCCCAAAAAACAUCAGCAAAAAUAUCAGGUGGGGCAUGAGUAGGGAAGAUACAAACAAUGUACAUGGCCUGGUUAGGUGGCCUGGUUAGCUGUGAGCAUUCCGAACUCAUCAUAUAUGUGAGACACCAUGGAUUGGAUUUGCAAGUGAACAAAAAAACUCUAGAAUUUGAUGGUUCUUUCAUCUCAAUCCUUCUAUGUAAUGGCAAAAUUGAUUUGUUUUAGAAAUAUUGAUGCUUGCCUGCAUUAUCUAUCUAAUGGCAAAAUUGAUUUGU